CUUCUCCAGCUUUCUGGCAAUACCAAGGGGCAGACCCGGGAAUGGGUUGUUCAGUCACUGCUGUACCGCCCAUGAGCGGCAGAGGGCAGCAAAACACACUCAUCGGACGGGCAUCAAGGGAGCCUGAGGAUAACCAGGGCUUGAAAAUGCAAUCAACCCAUGAAAAUGUUUUUAAAGACCAUGAUUCUGUUCAUCAAGGAGACAUUUAAAGGGAUGGGAGACUUGCUAUGUGGCCGAGGCUGGAUUCUAUAAGAAUCAUCUGAAGUAUGAAUGAAUAUCGUAAGGAUUUCACCAAAUCUAUACAGUUCAUUCCAUCGUCAACAUCUAAAACAAUGCUGAAACAGAGCAAGCUUUCCAGUCUUACUUUACGAGCAAAAUCAAGAUCUACAUACUACAACUUUCACUUACGUUUCUCCAUCUAACCCAUCCUCUCUUUCAAUAACUGUAACUGUUUGAUUGAAGACUGCAUCUUGGAAUACAUUGCCCUGUUUAAGAAAAUAAAAUAAUCAGAAAAAUCUAAAUGCAAUAAAGGAAG
rnacentral:lncRNA from 1 species